GAUGAACGCUAGCGGCAGGCUUAACACAUGCAAGUCGAGGGGUAACAGAGGUAGCUUGCUACUUGCUGACGACCGGCGCACGGGUGCGUAACGCGUAUAGAACCUACCUUAUAGAAGGGAAUAGCCCAGAGAAAUUUGGAUUAAUGCCCUAUAGUAUUAUUGAUUGGCAUCGAUUAAUAAUUAAAGAUUUAUCGCUAUAAGAUGGCUAUGCGCUCUAUUAGCUAGUUGGUAUGGUAACGGCAUACCAAGGCAACGAUAGAUAGGGGUCCUGAGAGGGAGAUCCCCCACACUGGUACUGAGACACGGACCAG
rnacentral:rRNA from 1 species